rnacentral:misc_RNA from 1 species
GAUGCUGCACCCUCAUAGCUUGCAAGGGCCCUCAGAGUUCCAACAGGAGGUCAAUAUUUUAAGCAAAUUGAGGCAUCCAAAUGUUGUCACUCUUAUAGGAGCGUGUCCAGAAGCAUGGACUCUUGUAUAUGAGUAUCUUCCCAACGGAAGCCUAGAAGAUCGUCUUACCUGCAAAGAUAACACGCCUCCACUGUCGUGGCAAACUCGAAUCCGUGUAGCAGCAGAGCUCUGUUGUGCUCUCAUCUUCCUCCAUUCCUGCACUGCUCGGGGCAUAAUUCAUGGUGAUCUAAAACCAGCAAAUGUUUUGCUUGAUGCGAAC